GAAUUUUUGCCAUAAUCAAUGCGUAUGACAAUAUUGACGUCUCAGUUGUCUUUUCCAUUUAAUAUUCUGUCCAUGUGUCACUUUUUGAUUGAUUCUGCUGUUUUACACCCUUUUUCAAGAUUUCUUCACUUCCACACGAAGUGAUAGUUGCCUUUAUUAUAGGCUUUCCAUCAUUACACUUCUAAUUUUGACGGUUGCCAUUAUAUACAUAUUUUUCUUCCUUUGUCUUCUUCUUCACAAAUCUUUAGGUCUGCUCCUUACUUUUGACCUCUUUUGAUUCAACCUUGCUCAACAAUGCGUCUCCAAGCCCUAACCCUAAAAGAGUUCCACUUUUAGACUGGUUCCCCAAUGUCCCCGUUAAACAUAGAAGAGGCAGAGGAGGUAGACUUCGAACGGGGUUAGAUUCUACUCGUGGCGGCUCAUCCGGUUCCUCUUCUAGGAGUUCUCUCCCAAAAACUCCUUCUUCUAAAGGUAAAGAAAUUCCUAAUUCUUCUCGAGAACCUUUAGUUGAUGAAAUCGUACCUAGUGAUUUGUCUUUUGUGAGUGAUA
rnacentral:lncRNA from 1 species